UACGGAGGGUGCAAGCGUUAUCCGGAUUCACUGGGUUUAAAGAGCUCGUAGGCGGUUUGUCACGUCGGAUGUGAAAUCCCGGGGCUUAACCUCGGGUCUGCAUUCGAUACGGGCUGACUAGAGUUCGGUAGGGGAGACUGGAAUUCCUGGUGUAGCGGUGAAAUGCGCAGAUAUCAGGAGGAACACCGGUGGCGAAGGCGGGUCUCUGGGCCGAUACUGACGCUGAGGAGCGAAAGCGUGGGGAGCGAACAGG
rnacentral:rRNA from 1 species